rnacentral:siRNA from 1 species
AUCAAUUAUAGUCCGAAGUGGUCC